CUUGGUCAUUUAGAGGAAGUAAAAGUCGUAACAAGGUUUCCGUAGGUGAACCUGCGGAAGGAUCAUUAAUGAGUUUAGGGUCUUCGGGCCCGAACCUCCAACCCUUUGUCGUCAUAAUAAAACCCUUGUUGCUUCGGCGGGACUCGGGGGCCGCCCUCGCGGGCCGCGCCACCGAGCCGGGCUCUCACGGGCCCGGAUCGCUCCCGCCGGAGUCAAACCAAACUCUUGUUUAAACAGUAUCGUCUGAGUGAAUUGAUAAAUCAAUUAAAACUUUCAACAACGGAUCUCUUGGUUCUGGCAUCGAUGAAGAACGCAGCGAAAUGCGAUAAGUAAUGUGAAUUGCAGAAUUCAGUGAAUCAUCGAAUCUUUGGACGCACAUUGCGCCCCUUGGUAUUCCGAGGGGCAUGCCUGUUCGAGCGUCAUUACACCAAUCAAGCUAAGCUUGGUAUUGGGCCCUCGUCCCCCCUUCGCGGGGGGGUCGUGCCCCGAAACCUUCGGCGAAGUCACAUCGGCUUUGGGCGUAGUAGAAUUUCCACAACGUUCACGAGUCCGGCGAGGCCUUCUGCCGCGAAACAAACAAUUUUAUCAAAGGUUGACCUCGGAUCAGGUAGGGAUACCCGCUGAACUUAAGCAUAUCAAUAAGCGGAGGA
rnacentral:rRNA from 1 species